GGCACGCGGGAACUGAGACCGACCGAGGGAACAGCAGAUUCAUGUCUCCCAUCUCACGCUCACUCCGGGGCAUACACUCAUUGUGUGGAAUCGCCCGCACUAUUUACAGGAGCUGAUGACAGAGAGGCUGCAGAAUCUGGAUCAACGAGAUCAACGAUGAACGCCAAUGGUGGAUCACAGGCGUAGAAGACAACUGCAAAUUUUUCAAGCCUCCCUCCUCCGUCCCGAAGGCUAUCUCAGAUAAAGCGGCAGAAAAAAAGGACGUGAGAUGAAAUGUUCUCUGAAAUCAUGGAAUCGACCCGCAAUGAAAGAGCUCAUCAGAAUGAGUGGAAGGACGCGGUAUCAAAGUACAGGAAAGAUGCCAGUGAAUGUGAGGACAUGAGGGACCAAUGCGAGGAGAGGAGAGACGCUCGAGAUGAGAGGUGGCGGGAUGCAACGCUGCUGCUGCUGCGUGAGCAAACGGACAUGCUCCAGCGUCUGGUGAAGCUUCAGGAAUGGCAGCAGGAUCACAGAAUGUUGCUGCAGCCCUUGUAUAACUGCCCUCCCCCCUCCCCAUGUUCUAUAGUCUCCUCACACAGACGUGUAAGAACACGGGGAGGGGGGAGGAGGCUCCGUGCACCCUCCCACUCCACCCCAGUGGACAGGCCAACCAAAAGGCUGUCAUUAUAUUGAACUUUUUUAGUGGCCUUUUCCUUCC